GACGAACGCUGGCGGCGUGCUUAACACAUGCAAGUCGAACGGAAAGGCCCUGCUUUUGUGGGGUGCUCGAGUGGCGAACGGGUGAGUAACACGUGAGUAACCUGCCCUUGACUUUGGGAUAACUUCAGGAAACUGGGGCUAAUACCGGAUAGGAGCUCCUGCUGCAUGGUGGGGGUUGGAAAGUUUCGGCGGUUGGGGAUGGACUCGCGGCUUAUCAGCUUGUUGGUGGGGUAGUGGCUUACCAAGGCUUUGACGGGUAGCCGGCCUGAGAGGGUGACCGGCCACAUUGGGACUGAGGUACGCCCCAGACGCCUACGGGAGGCAGCAGUGGGGAAUAUUGCACAAUGGGCGGAAGCCUGAUGCAGCAACGCCGCGUGCGGGAUGACGGCCUUCGGGUUGUAAACCGCUUUCGCCUGUGACGAAGCGUGAGUGACGGUAAUGGGUAAAGAAGCACCGGCUAACUACGUG
rnacentral:rRNA from 1 species